UGCAUCGCACAUGAAGUCUUGCAUUUAAAUCCAUGGUGGUAUUUUUUGACCAGGCUUGUUCGUGAGCUUAUGUACGUUGAAGGUGUUAUCUGGUAAGUGGCAACUGUCUGUAAGCUACACGACAAUCACCUGUAUAGCUUUGUAUAGCUUCGUCUGGACUUGAACUUACGUACUACCCUACCAAUGAAAGCAAAGCAUUUAAAAUUGCAAAAUGGUGGAGCAACCGAAAACGGCAACAUGUUAAUGAUCAAUCUGGAAAUUUCAUGGAAAGUUUUGACUUUGUUUACAAAUAGGGCUGGUUAUGGACAAAGAGUAUAAUAGUUUUGUAUACGCGGUGGAUUUUAUAAAUCAAAGCGUUGUAGAAAACAGAAACUCGUUGUGUUGACAUUCGUUAUUCUUUAUUUGCCUGCUGGCUCAAGCAAUACUGCACUGUAAUAACAAAGGACUGUUUGCAUUGGACUUCCGUAUAUGUACUGGUAUGCAAGAACGACGUAAACGACUGCCGAGAAAGGAAGCUGUAAGCAACGGACGGCUAUGCCUGGCUUUGCCCUGAUUGGACAGCUUUUCUGCAGUGCUAUAGACAAGCCAAAUGACACGUAUGUGCAAGGGAUUUGGAAGCAUUUCGCAUGAGCUGUUUUUACUUUCGCGCCAAACAUGUUUGUCCGGAGAAAUCCCACCGGAUCUGCAACCUUGCCCACGAAAAAUCCAACACCUGUAUAAAAAGCCUUGAGGCGGUGCACAACCCAUGCUUGUGACUUUUGAGCAAACUGAAAGGUUGAUUUGCGCAUUUAUUGUGAAGUGUAAGGUGUCGACCCUGUUUACAUUGAAUUAUCUGAAAAAUGAGAUCCGCUUUCGUAGCGUCCGCUCUUCUGGUGAUCGUAUUACUGGCCAUGCUGCAAGAGCAAGCCGAAGCGCAGUGUGGAGCAGCCGACAGUUGCCGCGGCGUUGGCGGCGGGAGCCUGUGUAAUGACCGCUGCAAGCGAUGCAAGGGCACCAGCGGAUACUAUAAACGAGGAGAAUGUGGAGGACUAGGAUGGCAGAGGUGCUACUGUUAUUAUAGUUGAUUUAGAAGGACAAAAGGCACCAAUUCGAUUAGCUGAUUUCUGCGAAAUCGUGCAGGCUAAUCUGUGCAGCUUGUACAUUAUGCAUUGAAUCUACCCUUUCGUACAAAUUUUCUGGACUUCAAAUGUGCUGAUUGUAGGAAAAUGAUAUUGCAUGUAAGACUAGAUUAAGUAUGUAACGCUAAUCCAGCUUUUUAACAGCUGCUUCUUGUUAGCAUGGCUAACAACUGAAAAUACAGCCCACGCUCGUCCAGUUUAUCAGCUUUGAUGUAAAACACAACGCGGUGAUUC